UAGAGUUUGAUCAUGGCUCAGAUUGAACGCUGGCGGCAGGCCUAACACAUGCAAGUCGAGCGGUAGAGAGAAGCUUGCUUCUCUUGAGAGCGGCGGACGGGUGAGUAAUGCCUAGGAAUCUGCCUGGUAGUGGGGGAUAACGUUCGGAAACGGACGCUAAUACCGCAUACGUCCUACGGGAGAAAGCAGGGGACCUUCGGGCCUUGCGCUAUCAGAUGAGCCUAGGUCGGAUUAGCUAGUUGGUGGGGUAAUGGCUCACCAAGGCGACGAUCCGUAACUGGUCUGAGAGGAUGAUCAGUCACACUGGAACUGAGACACGGUCCAGACUCCUACGGGAGGCAGCAGUGGGGAAUAUUGGACAAUGGGCGAAAGCCUGAUCCAGCCAUGCCGCGUGUGUGAAGAAGGUCUUCGGAUUGUAAAGCACUUUAAGUUGGGAGGAAGGGUUGUAGAUUAAUACUCUGCAAUUUUGACGUUACCGACAGAAUAAGCACCGGCUAACUCUGUGCCAGCAGCCGCGGUAAUACAGAGGGUGCAAGCGUUAAUCGGAAUUACUGGGCGUAAAGCGCGCGUAGGUGGUUUGUUAAGUUGGAUGUGAAAUCCCCGGGCUCAACCUGGGAACUGCAUUCAAAACUGACUGACUAGAGUAUGGUAGAGGGUGGUGGAAUUUCCUGUGUAGCGGUGAAAUGCGUAGAUAUAGGAAGGAACACCAGUGGCGAAGGCGACCACCUGGACUAAUACUGA
rnacentral:rRNA from 1 species